rnacentral:lncRNA from 1 species
GGUUGCACUAGCUUCAAGCCGUGUGCGAAAGUGGGGCGGCAUGGAUGGAACCAAACCUCUGCUGGAAAAUAACUACAUCACCUAAGCAUUUUUAUCCCUUCUUAAUAAACAUUGUUUGCCUUAGUAUUGAUGAUAUCAUAUAUCAUUGUGAUUUUUUUAGUAUCAAUAGGGUAUGGAAAUCAGGUUGAACUUGUCCAAUUACUAUAUCGUUACAAGUCUAAAUGGUUGUGCACAUUUCUGUAUGCGGAGGCGGAAGUUGUUUCUAUCAUCUGGAAAAAAAAUCAUCAUCAGCCUGAAACGAGCUUUUGUCUGUUGACAUGUACCGACGCAGCGUGAGGCAUACUUGUGUUUCAUCAAUGAUUAAGAAAAGGACAGCAACACUACUCGGUUGUAAGAAGUAUUAUGUAAAAGAAAUAUAUGGGUUAACAAUAGUCCUAUUCGUUUUCUUAGUGGGGAUGCCUAUUCGGCGCACUUUAUUGCGAAGCCAACAAAGUUACAUCAUGAAUCAAAUAAGAUAGUCCUAUUCAUUAGAAGAAGUUGAGUGAACUGAGGAGUGCUCAUUGCGCUGUAAACAAUCAUGUUUGGACCAAACAACUAGCUCAAUCAUCAAGUGAAGUAAAAAACAGAGUCUUUUUUCUGUCCACCGCAAAUAACUGGCUCAUAUUCCUCAGAAUGUUUUGCUUGCCAUUUUAAAAUUUCUAGAAUAAAUAGAAUAAAAUGCUGAGCUUUCCACCUUGCCCAUCUCAUAGUCUACAACUACAGGCUGCGCUAGCAUCAAGCCGUGUGCGAAAGUGGGGUGGCAUCGAUGGAACCAAACCUCUGCUGGAAGAUAACUACAUCACCUAAGCAUUUUUAUCCCUUCUUAAUAAACAUUGUUUGCCUUGGUAUUGAUGAUAUCAUAUAUCAUUGUGAUUUUUUUUUAGUAUCAAUAGGGUAUGGAAAUCAGGUUGAACUUGUCCAAUUACUAUAUUGUUACAAGUCUAAGUGGUCGUGCACAUUUUUGUAUGGCGGAGGCGGGAAGUUGUUUCUAUCAUCUGAAAAAAAAAAUCAUCAUCAACCUGAAACGAGCUUUUGUCUGUUGACAUGUACCGACGCACUGUGAAAUGCACCUACCUAGAUUGAGGGUUCAUACACAACUAUCAUGCCCCUAAAUUCAACAGCAACAUUGCUAUAAAACACCGAAGAUCGUAGCCUUCGAGACAAAUCACAACUAACAAAUUAGAAACGAAAUUGCUCAGCAUGUAAUUGCAGGAAUCUAGUUGCCACCUGGGCGAGCCUCACCGGCUUAAGUACCACCGCGACGGCGACGGGGCUGCGCAAUACCGCCGUAAAAUAGCACACACACAACUCCCCCGCCGACAGGGACGC